AUGGUGGCUCCUGUUGUGUCAUGACUGCAGGUCACCCUCUUUUUUAUUCUUCUUCGUUGUGUACGCGGACUAGUGUGCUCUCGUGUGUGGUAGAGCUGGCACUUUUAUUUUUGAUAUUUAAAUUCUGGACACAAGACGUCGCACACCUUCAUCAUGCAGCUUUUCAGAAACUCUCCUUCGCACAGAGCCAUCACCACCAUCAAAGACUUCACCCACAGGAGCCCCCUCCUCACUCCACAGCUAUGAGGAUUUCACACCACCUUCUCCCACUACAACCCUUCAUAUUCAUGAUGUGAGGACGCAGUUUGACCCUUUAGACCUACUAAAGAACCCAGUCCGCCUGAGCUUAUCUUUAUAUUUUUACAUGUUGUAGUGCCAUUUCUGGGAGUAUUUUAAGUUGCUAUACAUCAAUACAACCAUUAUAUCCCAAAUUUUAAUCAUAUGUAUGCAUUAAGUCAUCAGUAACUAAAUAAAUUGCAAUAGUGGUAUUUUUACACAAAUUUCUAGUUAAAGUAAUUUCAGAGGUUCAUCCCUGAAAAUUGUAAAUGUAAAAAAGUUGCAUAAAACAGUUUCCAAAUUAAUUUUGAGUGUCUUCAUAGUUUUAUUUUUGAGAUACACCAAUUUGUAUAUACUGCAGCCACCAACUUUGAAAUUCUCAUUUACAUGACUUAUUUAAACAUUCUCCUCUUGAAUGCAAAAUUCUUAAAAACAUCUUUUAUGCUUUAAGAGUAAAUAAAUCUGAAAGCUGUUCCAUCCUAAAAGAGUACAACAAUGUGUAGUUUAUGAUGUUCUAAAGGUUUCAGCAUCUUUUUGAAUUUGUCACAUGUGUGGAAAGGUAUGAGUGAGCCUUUGUAUCAUACUGUGAGUGAUGCUCGUCAGCACACAAACCCAGAGUUUCUCUACAGGAACACAGAGAGAGUUAUUCCCUGUACUGUAAGGACACAUUCAGCAUUGUGCAGUAAAUCCAGAUCAUCCCAGUUAAAUGAUUACAUGGAUGUGAGUGUGGUCGUCAGAGCAGCACUGAUCAGUGUCAGGUUAUAAUGACCAAGGUGUACACAAACACUAAGUUUGAGUGUGUGCAGUGAGACUUCAGUCAAAGCAUUUAACUGAGGUGUGAAAAAUAAGCUGAACUCUACAGCUUGUUGUGGUCCCCUGUGGCUUGACAGCCUUCCAGCUGUUCUCCAGCAUUUUCAUUUACAGUCAUAAAAUAUCUCCACAUGUUGCUCCUCUUUCUCUCUCUCUGCAGUCCAAAUGCGUCUUCUGAGCGCAUCUGAGUCACGUGACGGCACAGUAACAAAUCCCAGCAGGGCAGGAAGAAGGGGGCGGAGCAAAGUGCGUCUGCCGCAUAAGAAGAGGUGUUCACACAGACAGAGCUGCUGUUUCAUCCACAGCGAGUAAAUAGUGAACCUCCAGGAGAGAAACAAACUAAAGUAUCGAUCAUAUACCACUACCAACGUUUGGAUCGAUAUCUGCAUCGAUCUGCA